rnacentral:misc_RNA from 1 species
GAUGAAGAACGUAGCGAAAUGCGAUAAGUAAUGUGAAUUGCAGAAUUCAGUGAAUCAUCGAAUCUUUGAACGCACAUUGCGCCCGCCAGUAUUCUGGCGGGCAUGCCUGUUCGAGCGUCAUUUCAACCAUCAAGCCCCCGGCUUGUGUUGGGGACCUGCGGCUGCCGCAGGCCCUGAAAAGCAGUGGCGGGCUCGCUGUCACACCGAGCGUAGUAGCAUACAUCUCGCUCUGGGCGUGCUGCGGGUUCCGGCCGUUAAACCACCUUCAUAACCCAAGGUUGACCUCGGAUCAGGUAGGAAGACCCGCUGAACUUAAGCAUAUCAAAGCGGAGGA